rnacentral:lncRNA from 1 species
AUUUAAGUGUUAGUACGUGAAAUUAAAAGAAUAAUAAUAUAAUUUUAUUUUUUUGUAAGUAUAACAGUGUUUAUGUGUUAAGCAAAGUCUAAAAAAUAAAGUAAGAAAAACUAGUUUAGAAAUUACAAUAAAACGUAAUCGUUAAUCAUUUUUAUUAACCUUCAUUUGCUACACUCCGUCGUUACACGUUGCUCAAUUUGUACAAAAUGGGAGAGAAUGAAUACUUUGAACGUAAAACGUCUUUAAAUAAAAAUGUGAGGAGUGGUAAGGCAACAAGUUUUUAUAUAAAUAAUGAUGUUUUUGAAAAAAGUAAAAAAUAUAGUUUAACAUGCUUAAAAAAAAUAAAAAAAUUACCACAUAAUAAUUUAUAUAAGGUAGACAUUACAAACAGUAACCGUAACGGAAACAGAAAUGGAAACAGAAACGGAAACAGAAACGGAAACAGAAACAGUAACGGAAACAGUAACGGAAACAGAAACAGAAACAGAAACAGCAACAACAGUAACAGUAACAACUACAUGAAUAGAAACAGUACCUAUUUUAGAAGGUCGACAAAACAAAUAGAAAACUGGGAUGUAAUGUCAAACGUUUCAAAAUAUUCAUCAGAUAAUAAUAAAGAAACUGAACAAAAAAACAUUUUAAUAUGCUUAGGUAAUAAUGAUUAUGGUCAGUUAGGAAUAAAAGAAAAUAAACACAUUGGUCUAAUCGAUUUUAGUUCUAUCACUAUUCAUAAUAAGAAGAGCGAAUGUAAUGGUGGUGAAUGGUAUAGUACCACACAUCGUAGUGACAAUUUUUUAAUUAAUGGUAAUAUUAAAAGUAGUAAAAAAUAUAAUUGCUUAUUGAAAGAAUUAAAAAAAAGAGGUAAAAAAAAAAAAAGCUCACUAAUAUAUGGUAAACAUUCUAGUCAUUCGUUGUGUUAUAAUAAAAUGUAUAACGAAAUAUUAACAAAAUUGCCAGAAGCAUUUAUUUUAUCUACUAUUGAAAAAAAUAAAAAAAAUGUUAAAAAUAAAAGAGACAUUAGUAGUAGUAUAUAUGUCAAUUUAAAAAGAGACAGUUCCAGCUGUGGUAGAACAAAUGAUAGUACCCCAAUCGACAACUAUAACGAGAGUAAAACAUAUGACAAUACACAAAGCGAUAGCUCUGCUAAUAUCCAAUCAGAUAGCGGUGGUACGUAUAAUAGUGUCACUGAACAGAAUCAAAUCGAAAAUGUGAACGCAAACUUAGAAAAAACACAAAUAAAAAAUGACAAAAAUGACAAAAAUGACAAAAAUGAUAAAAAUGAGUCAGUCUAUAAAAAAAUGAAUAAGUUAGGUGUGGAACAGCAUAACAAACACCGAAUAAACAAUUAUAUGAAAAGAAAUAAAUACAAAAAAAGUAUUUUAAUUAAAAAAAACGAAAAAAAUGUUUUUGGUAAGCAUGAUUAUGAAAAAAGCUGUUACAGUGAUGACGAAAAAAAAAUGAAACAAUAUAAUGAUUUUUUUUUUAAUAUACAUGAAAACAACAAAAACAGUAAUAAUAACAUUAGAGGCACUAACAUGGGUAAACCUAUUUCCAUAAGUAAUGUUAAAGAUAGUGUUACAAAAAAAGAACAUUUAAAAACAAAUAAAAUGAAUAUGUUUCAUCCUAAGCAAAUAGCUUGUGGUAAAUACCAUUCAGGAGUUAUAAGUAAAAAUGGGUUUGUUUGUCUGUGGGGCUUAAAUUGUUAUGGACAACUAGGAAUAAACCCUAAUACAUCUAUUCAUACAUGUUUUAAAAAAACAACAUUCAGAAAAUCAAAGCUUAUAACAUUAAAAAGAAGGCUUUCAAAAGAGGAGGCUCAAAAUGAUAAAACACAUUUUUUAAGAAAACUAUUUUAUACAAAAGACGAAAAAAACUCUAUAUUAUCUCCAUAUAUAUAUAAAUUAAUCCCUUUGAAAUAUUUUGG